rnacentral:tRNA from 1 species
GUUUCCUUAGUACUAACUAGUACAGCUGACUUCCAAUCAGCCAGUUCUGGUCACAAUCCAGAAGGAGGCA